rnacentral:misc_RNA from 1 species
UCUCCGUUGGUGAACCAGCGGAGGGAUCAUUACCGAGUUCCAGCAACUCCCAACCCUUGCGAACCGUACCCCAGUCUGUUCUCGUUGCUUCCGGCAGGCGGGGGGGGCCACCUGGCCCCCCCCCCUGCCGGGGGCGGCGGGCCCUCUGAACUUUUAUAUCUCACCCACUGAAACCCGUCUGAGCAAAACAAAAAAUAAUAAAAACUUUCAACAACGGAUCUCUUGGCUCUG